rnacentral:tRNA from 1 species
CAUUAGAUGGCUGAAAGUAAGCACAGGUCUCUUAAACCUUUUUAUAGUAAUUUAACAAAUACUUCUAAUGA